UGUUCGAGCGGGUAAGUCCUAUAAUGUGCCUCUGGUGCUCCCUUCCAUCGGUUGGCAAUGAGCCAGAGGAAAUAGGCAUUAUAGGGGCCGCUUUUUU
rnacentral:sRNA from 1 species